AUACGGAGGGUGCGAGCGUUAAUCGGAAUUACUGGGCGUAAAGCGUGCGUAGGCGGUUUGUUAAGUCAGAAGUGAAAGCCCUGGGCUCAACCUGGGAACGGCUUUUGAGACUGGCAGACUCGAGUUGAGUAGAGGGGAGUGGAAUUUCCGGUGUAGCGGUGAAAUGCGUAGAGAUCGGAAGGAACACCAGUGGCGAAGGCGACUCCCUGGACUCAAACUGACGCUGAGGUACGAAAGCGUGGGUAGCAAACAGGAUUAGAUACCCUUGUAGUCC
rnacentral:rRNA from 1 species